UACAGAGGUCUCAAGCGUUGUUCGGAUUCAUUGGGCGUAAAGGGUGCGUAGGCGGCGCGGUAAGUCGGGUGUGAAAUCUUGGAGCUUAACUCCGAAACUGCAUUCGAUACUGCCGUGCUUGAGGACUGGAGAGGAGAGUGGAAUUCCUGGUGUAGCGGUGAAAUGCGCAGAUAUCAGGAAGAACACCCGUGGCUAAGGCGGCUCUCUAGUACGGUACUGACGCUGAGACGCGAAAGCGUGGGAGCGAACAGG
rnacentral:rRNA from 1 species